rnacentral:rRNA from 1 species
UGAGGAAUAUUGGUCAAUGGGCGAGAGCCUGAACCAGCCAAGUAGCGUGCAGGAUGACGGCCCUAUGGGUUGUAAACUGCUUUUAUGUGGGGAUAAAGUGCGUGACGUGUCAUGCAUUGCAGGUACCAUACGAAUAAGGACCGGCUAAUUCCGUGCCAGCAGCCGCGGUAAUACGGAAGGUCCAGGCGUUAUCCGGAUUUAUUGGGUUUAAAGGGAGCGUAGGCUGUUUGUUAAGCGUGUUGUGAAAUGUAGGAGCUCAACUUUUAGAUUGCAGCGCGAACUGGCAGACUUGAGUGCGCACAACGUAGGCGGAAUUCAUGGUGUAGCGGUGAAAUGCUUAGAUAUCAUGACGAACUCCGAUUGCGAAGGCAGCUUACGGGAGCGCAACUGACGCUAAAGCUCGAAGGUGCGGGUAUCGAACAGG